rnacentral:rRNA from 1 species
UACAGGGGGGGCAAGCGUUGUUCGGAAUUACUGGGCGUAAAGGGUCUGUAGGUGGCCAACUAAGUCAGACGUGAAAUCCCUCAGCUUAACUGGGGAACUGCGUCUGAUACUGGAUGGCUUGAGUGUGGGAGAGGAAUGCGGAAUUCCAGGUGUAGCGGUGAAAUGCGUAGAUAUCAGGAGGAACACCGGUGGUGUAAACGGCUUUCUGGACCAUAACUGACGCUGAGGCACGAAAGCGUGGGUAGCAAACAGG